AAAUAAAAAGCAAUUUAUGCAAUCAGUUUCGACCUGAUCCCUGAUGAAAUUCAUCUUUAUUUA
rnacentral:tRNA from 1 species